rnacentral:rRNA from 1 species
UGGGGAAUAUUGCACAAUGGGGGAAACCCUGAUGCAGCGACGCCGCGUGAACGAAGAAGGUAUUCGUAUCGUAAAGUUCUGUCCUAUGGGAAGAUAAUGACAGUACCAUAGAAGAAAGCUCCGGCUAAAUACGUGCCAGCAGCCGCGGUAAUACGUAUGGAGCGAGCGUUGUCCGGAAUUAUUGGGCGUAAAGGGUACGCAGGCGGUUUAAUAAGUCGAAUGUUAAAGAUCGGGGCUCAACCCCGCAAAGCAUUGGAAACUGAUAAACUUGAGUAGUGGAGAGGAAAGUGGAAUUCCUAGUGUAGUGGUGAAAUACGUAGAUAUUAGGAGGAAUACCAGUAGCGAAGGCGGCUUUCUGGACACAAACUGACGCUGAGGUACGAAAGCGUGGGGAGCAAACAGG